rnacentral:rRNA from 1 species
GAUGAACGCUAGCGGCAGGCCUAACACAUGCAAGUCGAGGGAGAAGCCCUUUCGGGGGCAGAAACCGGCGCACGGGUGCGUAACGCGUAUGCAACCUACCUUUCACAGGGGGAUAGCCCGAAGAAAUUUGGAUUAAUACCCCAUAAUAUUGUUGGAUGGCAUCAUUUGGCAAUUAAAACUGCGGUGGUGAAAGAUGGGCAUGCGUCCUAUUAGCUAGUUGGAGUGGUAACGGCACCCCAAGGCUACGAUAGGUAGGGGUCCUGAGAGGGAGAUCCCCCACACUGGUACUGAGACAGGGACCAGACUCCUACGGGAGGCAGCAGUGAGGAAUAUUGGUCAAUGGUCGGAAGACUGAACCAGCCAUGCCGCGUGCAGGAAGAAUGCCCUAUGGGUUGUAAACUGCUUUUAUAUGGGAAGAAUAAGGCGUACGUGUACGUUGAUGACGGUACCAUAUGAAUAAGCAUCGGCUAACUCCGUG